GACCUUUGUGGCUGGGGGAGGGGCUGAGGAAGGUGGCCCCCACAUAGCCUCACCAAGGCCUGUAUUCUGAGGUCAUAAUUUAGUACUCAGAUCCCAAGGUAGGAGAGUAAAGGCCAAUGGCAGUGUCAGCAGCAGGAUUGUGAUGUUAUUGUGGAGAUGAGGCCACACUACCUUCAGAGCUCCUGGCCCUGGACGUCCUGUGACCAGGCAGGUCCACCACAGCAGAGGCCACCCGGAGGGAGGCCCAUGUCUAAAAAGGACACGGAUUCACCAGGGAUAUGAGUCGAAAUACCGAUUCCCGGGCUCUAAAUGUGCUCCAUCAGACACAUUUUGAAGACCAAAGAUUUUGAAGAUCAAAGAUCUUUCAGCUCCAAUCCUGAAGAUACAGUGGUGGAGCAUGGAAUCUCACAAGUGUCUUGGGCUGAUCUGCCCUACCCUAAAAGAAGCACAUGUAGAAAGUACCACUGGUGCUUGAAAAACCUGGAAAAAGAAAAGAAGUCCAUCCUUCUUUGGAGUGGCUAA
rnacentral:lncRNA from 1 species